UGCGCAGAGCCGCCAUGUUACCAACCCAUCGAGAUGCGCGCACCCGACCACCACAGACAGCGCCUGGGUGCGCGUUCACGAGGGUGAGGAGAACAACCAUGACUGGCAGAAAGGAAAAUAACUGGCAUGAAAUUUACUGCAGGAUAAACGCUCCCGAAUAGCUGCAUCUGAUAAUCCUGGACUACACACAAACCGAAUACCACCACAGACAUAUUUGGAUUAAAAUCACACAAGGGACACAUUAGAUGCAGAACAAAUUGUGAGGACGCAGGGACAUACAACAUAUACAUGAAACACAGCGGAUUUUGUGAACGCAGAGGAGUCCUGAUCACUUUGGUUUAAUUAAUCGUCCUGAUGAGACACAUGAAUGAGACAGAAGCAGCUGACGAGAACCUGACAGCAGCAGAAGAAGAAGAAGAAGAAGAGAUGUGACGUCACCCCCAGUGGUUCAGAGUCAGAACAUCAUCAUGUGCACAUCUCCUCCUCCUCCUCCUGCUGACCGACUGGAGCAUUACAACGAUCUGUGCCUCCACAGACUCUUUCCACAAUAAAUGAAACUAAAACAUGAAAACGCUGUGUGUCUGGGAAACAUUGCACAUGUAACAAAGCAAUGAGAAGAUAAAUUAAUUAUUACAUCUGCUCAGAAACAUCAUAUCUUUACAGUCACAGUGCACUUUGAUAGAGAGUGUGUGAGCGAGAGAUGAUCUAACACCAGUAGCUCCUCCUGACGCUGAUUCUGAUUCCAGUUCAUUUAAAAACUAACAAUAAAAUAACAAGACAAAGUUUUUGAACAUGGAAGUGGAUCUUCAGAUACUUUAUGAAA